CAGUAGCCACGGUAAUACGAAGGGUGCAAGCGUUACUCGGAAUUACUGGGCGUAAAGCGUGUGUAGGUGGUUGUUUAAGUCUGUCGUGAAAGCCCUGGGCUCAACCUGGGAAUUGCGAUGGAUACUGGGCGACUAGAGUGCGGUAGAGGAUAGUGGAAUUUCCGGUGUAGCAGUGAAAUGCGUAGAGAUCGGAAGGAACAUCUGUGGCGAAGGCGACUAUCUGGGCCAACACUGACACUGAGACACGAAAGCGUGGGGAGCAAACAGGAUUAGAUACCCCCGUAGUCCCUGUCUCUUAUAC
rnacentral:rRNA from 1 species